AAUUAAAAGGUGAUAAAGAAUGAUAAAGGGUAAUAAAGGCCGGAGUAAUCUUGGAGUUUCUGUAACGUUUCUGUAACGGUCAUAUCUUGAAUUGUCUCUUAUCCGACCACCGAUUUGUAUCUGGUGAUCAUCUUUGACACGUGUGGUUUCCUUGAGACCGGUUUGUACCGUAUAUAGUCGUUACAUAAAAGGAAUUUUUUUACCGUUAUAUAAUAAUAAAUUUAACAAUACGAUAUAAUAAAAUUUAAAUUAACAAUCAAAACAAACAUUAAUAUAAUAGUUUUUAAAGUAACAAUACCAAAUAAUAUAAUAUUGUUAAUCACACUACAUACGGUUUUCAACUUUAAAUUUUCCCCAACUAUAGUCAAAUACCCAUUCUUGUGCAAAAGAAAGACAUUUUCUCUGCAUGUGGGGCUAAAAAAAUGUGAUACUGUCCCAUUCCCACCACUGUGCAAAUUCCAUCUUAUUAUUAUUAUUAGCAUACAUUUUGAUGAGUAAAUUUAAACAAUUGUGUCAAACUUUUCUUGAAAAUACAGUGUGAACAUACUGUUUGGAGAAAACUUUCCUUAUGUGGGGUACGGUUUUGUUAGUUUGUUUGAUCAAAUGUUGCCGUGUGAAGACUUUUCAAGUCAUUCUAAGUCUUUGCCAUCUUUGAACAGAGAUUGCCUCUUAUUGGAGCUGUGUUUUCCUUAUGAAAUUUAUUGAACUCCAAAUAAUAUUGCCACUUAUAAACAUAUUCAGAUAAAAUUUAUCCUGUUCUUUCAGAUUUAGCAGCCUAAAGGUGAGUUUUUUUUUCAAGAUUUUGAGUACCAUUUUUUUGUGUCUAUUGACAGUCAAAGUAUAAAGUUGAAUAUGGGGUUUUUAAUUCACAGGAACUGUAAUUUUGGGCAUUUCGGUAUAUCCAAGGACUGAAAAAGAUUGAAUCUUUGUGCCCUGUAGAUGGUGGGUUUUCUUCAUUUCUGG
rnacentral:lncRNA from 1 species